rnacentral:rRNA from 1 species
AACGGCCAUACCAUGCUGAAUAUACCGGUUCUCGUUAGAUCACCGAAGUCAAGCAUCAUUGGGCGUGCUCAGUACUUGGGUGGGUGACCACCUGGGAACACCGCGUGCCGUU